GGGAAGGUGGCUCAGUGGUAGAGCACUUGCAUUGCAUGCACGAGGCCCUGGGUUCGAUUCCUCGGCUCCACA
rnacentral:tRNA from 1 species